AGAGUUUGAUCCUGGCUCAGGAUGAACGCUGGCGGUAUGCUUAACACAUGCAAGUCGAACGGACUCUUCGGAGUUAGUGGCGGACGGGUGAGUAACGCGUGAGAAUCUGGCUUCAGGUUCGGGACAACAGUUGGAAACGGCUGCUAAUACCGGAUGUGCCUUAUGGUGAAAGAUUUAUCACCUGAAGAUGAGCUCGCGUCUGAUUAGCUAGUAGGUGUGGUAAGAGCGCACCUAGGCGACGAUCAGUAGCUGGUCUGAGAGGAUGAUCAGCCACACUGGGACUGAGACACGGCCCAGACUCCUACGGGAGGCAGCAGUGGGGAAUUUUCCGCAAUGGGCGAAAGCCUGACGGAGCAAUACCGCGUGAGGGAGGAAGGCUCUUGGGUUGUAAACCUCUUUUCUCAGGGAAGAAUGAUGACGGUACCUGAGGAAUAAGCAUCGGCUAACUCCGUGCCAGCAGCCGCGGUAAUACGGAGGAUGCAAGCGUUAUCCGGAAUGAUUGGGCGUAAAGCGUCCGCAGGUGGCAAUGUAAGUCUGCUGUCAAAGCGUCUGGCUCAACCAGAUAAAGGCAGUGGAAACUACAUAGCUAGAGUAAGGUAGGGGUAGAGGGAAUUCCUGGUGUAGCGGUGAAAUGCGUAGAGAUCAGGAAGAACACCGGUGGCGAAAGCCUCUGCUGGACCUUAACUGACACUGAGGGACGAAAGCUAGGGGAGCGAAUGGGAUUAGAUACCCUAGUAGUCC
rnacentral:rRNA from 1 species